UACUCCACCAAAAUAAAGAGCCUUGAAUACUAGAAAGAAAGCCCCUAUACCUAACAAGAUUAAGUGAAUACCUAAAAUUGUGGCCAUUUUAUUUAUAUCUUUCCA
rfam:Daucus carota subsp. sativus cultivar DH1 chromosome 1, whole genome shotgun sequence.